rnacentral:misc_RNA from 1 species
UUAACUAUUAUAAUUUACUCAGACGACACUAUAACAAGAGUUUGGGUCCUCUGGCGGGCACUAUCAGCCGGAGCCGACGCCGAAGCGGCCCGCCAAAGCAACAAAGAAGGUAGACACGGGUUGAAGUUAUAUCCCUAAAGGCGCAUUGCUGCAGCCAACGCAAAAGCCAGAGCAGCGGCCUUUCGGCGGCUGGAUAACCCUACCCUCCAUCCGCCUGCUCUUUUCUCCUCUUAUGAGGCAUAAGGCAUUAUAAGCGACUGAAAGGUAGCUAAAUACGUGGGGCGAUCUGAGCCUUUCGACCAGACAAACUAAUAAUGAUCCUUCCGCAGGUUCACCUACGGAAA